GUUUGCGCUUGUAAUCCAAGUGACUGGGAGGCGGGCACUGGCGGAUGGAGUGAGAGAAGGAGAACUGGUAGGCGUGGGAUUACGGAGACCGAGCGUCCAGGCCAAGCGUGGCGUCGAUAAGGUGUCAUAGCAGGAAUGUCAUGGCAGCUGGUCUGUGUAAAGAGGGGCGUAUGGCUCAGGGCCGAAAGGCAGCAGGCAAAAGUCCCCGCGUCACGACGGUGGUCGGAUAGCGCUUGCGAGUAGUCAACGUUCAGGUUAUCUCAGAAACAAAAAUUCUAAUU
rnacentral:SRP_RNA from 1 species